rnacentral:rRNA from 1 species
GAGAAAGCGGGGGAUCGCAAGACCUCGCGCUAUUAGAUGAGCCUAUGUCAGAUUAGCUAGUUGGUGGGGUAAAGGCCUACCAAGGCGACGAUCUGUAACUGGUCUGAGAGGAUGAUCAGUCACACUGGAACUGAGACACGGUCCAGACUCCUACGGGAGGCAGCAGUGGGGAAUAUUGGACAAUGGGCGCAAGCCUGAUCCAGCAAUACCGCGUGUGUGAAGAAGGCCUUAGGGUUGUAAAGCACUUUUAAUCGGGAGGAACACCUAAUCGCUAAUACCGAUUAGAAUGACAUUACCGAUAGAAAAAGCACCGGCUAACUCCGUGCCAGCAGCCGCGGUAAUACGGAGGGUGCAAGCGUUAAUCGGAAUUACUGGGCGUAAAGCGUGCGUAGGUGGUUAUUUAAGUCAGAUGUGAAAGCCCCGGGCUCAACCUGGGAAUGGCAUUUGAUACUGGGUAACUCGAGUUUGGGAGAGGCAAGUGGAAUUUCA